UUUAAUUUGCAGAUAGCUACACGACGAGUAGCACAAGCAGCAUGGAACAAGAUAAAAAGAAGUUGGAAGAGCUCGCACAAAGAAUUGUUGAAACUACUAAAGAGACGUCAUCAACGUCCAACAACCGGUACGAGAGUUUCGCGAACAUGUUAUCUCUCGCUCGGCAAGAGCUGACGACGGGCCCGACCACGCUGUGCUCGUGGUUCCGCGCCGCGCUGCGGACUUGUCUCCGGCGCGCCGCCGCCGGCCAGCAGCGCGUCGCCGAGCGCACCGCCCCGCGCGCCAUCGAGGGACUGGUGCAGGGAUGGGUGAGGAAUAUUCACUUAUGCUAUUAGCACGGGCAUACAGUAACUUAUACAAGAGCUGACGACGGGCCCGACCACGCUGUGCUCGUGGUUCCGCGCCGCGCUGCGGACUUGUCUCCGGCGCGCCGCCGCCGGCCAGCAGCGCGUCGCCGAGCGCACCGCCCCGCGCGCCAUCGAGGGACUGGUGCAGGGAUGGGUGAGGAAUAUUCACUUAUGCUAUUAGCACGGGCAUACAGUAACUUAUACAAGAGCUGACGACGGGCCCGACCACGCUGUGCUCGUGGUUCCGCGCCGCGCUGCGGACUUGUCUCCGGCGCGCCGCCGCCGGCCAGCAGCGCGUCGCCGAGCGCACCGCCCCGCGCGCCAUCGAGGGACUGGUGCAGGGAUGGGUGAGGAAUAUUCACUUAUGCUAUUAGCACGGGCAUACAGUAACUUAUACAAGAGCUGACGACGGGCCCGACCACGCUGUGCUCGUGGUUCCGCGCCGCGCUGCGGACUUGUCUCCGGCGCGCCGCCGCCGGCCAGCAGCGCGUCGCCGAGCGCACCGCCCCGCGCGCCAUCGAGGGACUGGUGCAGGGAUGGGUGAGGAAUAUUCACUUAUGCUAUUAGCACGGGCAUACAGUAACUUAUACAAGAGCUGACGACGGGCCCGACCACGCUGUGCUCGUGGUUCCGCGCCGCGCUGCGGACUUGUCUCCGGCGCGCCGCCGCCGGCCAGCAGCGCGUCGCCGAGCGCACCGCCCCGCGCGCCAUCGAGGGACUGGUGCAGGGAUGGGUGAGGAAUAUUCACUUAUGCUAUUAGCACGGGCAUACAGUAACUUAUACAAGAGCUGACGACGGGCCCGACCACGCUGUGCUCGUGGUUCCGCGCCGCGCUGCGGACUUGUCUCCGGCGCGCCGCCGCCGGCCAGCAGCGCGUCGCCGAGCGCACCGCCCCGCGCGCCAUCGAGGGACUGGUGCAGGGAUGGGUGAGGAAUAUUCACUUAUGCUAUUAGCACGGGCAUACAGUAACUUAUACAAGAGCUGACGACGGGCCCGACCACGCUGUGCUCGUGGUUCCGCGCCGCGCUGCGGACUUGUCUCCGGCGCGCCGCCGCCGGCCAGCAGCGCGUCGCCGAGCGCACCGCCCCGCGCGCCAUCGAGGGACUGGUGCAGGGAUGGGUGAGGAAUAUUCACUUAUGCUAUUAGCACGGGCAUACAGUAACUUAUACAAGAGCUGACGACGGGCCCGACCACGCUGUGCUCGUGGUUCCGCGCCGCGCUGCGGACUUGUCUCCGGCGCGCCGCCGCCGGCCAGCAGCGCGUCGCCGAGCGCACCGCCCCGCGCGCCAUCGAGGGACUGGUGCAGGGAUGGGUGAGGAAUAUUCACUUAUGCUAUUAGCACGGGCAUACAGUAACUUAUACAAGAGCUGACGACGGGCCCGACCACGCUGUGCUCGUGGUUCCGCGCCGCGCUGCGGACUUGUCUCCGGCGCGCCGCCGCCGGCCAGCAGCGCGUCGCCGAGCGCACCGCCCCGCGCGCCAUCGAGGGACUGGUGCAGGGAUGGGUGAGGAAUAUUCACUUAUGCUAUUAGCACGGGCAUACAGUAACUUAUACAAGAGCUGACGACGGGCCCGACCACGCUGUGCUCGUGGUUCCGCGCCGCGCUGCGGACUUGUCUCCGGCGCGCCGCCGCCGGCCAGCAGCGCGUCGCCGAGCGCACCGCCCCGCGCGCCAUCGAGGGACUGGUGCAGGGAUGGGUGAGGAAUAUUCACUUAUGCUAUUAGCACGGGCAUACAGUAACUUAUACAAGAGCUGACGACGGGCCCGACCACGCUGUGCUCGUGGUUCCGCGCCGCGCUGCGGACUUGUCUCCGGCGCGCCGCCGCCGGCCAGCAGCGCGUCGCCGAGCGCACCGCCCCGCGCGCCAUCGAGGGACUGGUGCAGGGAUGGUUGAACGACAGCACGGAGCGCGUCGCAUCUCUCCGCCGCUCUCACUCGUGCUACCACGACUCGGCUACCGAGGCGGAGGCGAGGCGCGUCGAGCUUCACAAGAGACAACGCGACGCUCGCAGGCAACGCGUGUUGAAAGCGAGCGGUAGAAUUGAUGCCGCUUUAACUCAACUACAAACCGAAAGAUCUCAAAUAGAAAAUCGUCUCACCAAACAACUAUCCGACAUCGAACAAGAACGUAGGGAAAGCGAGGCUCGCUUAGAACGCUGGGCCGAAGAAGAAAGAUUACGACUGGCCCGACACGUCGAGGCUGAGCGACUCGCGCUGUACGCCAGGCUAGAGAAGAGGAUAGCUGAUGUGGAAGAGGAAAAGAAGACUUUGGAGGAACGGGUCAGGAAU